GACGAACGCUGGCGGCGUGCUUAACACAUGCAAGUCGAACGGUGAAGCGCCUUCCUUUUUGGUGGGUGCGGAUGAGUGGCGAACGGGUGAGUAACACGUGAGUAACCUGCCCCCUUCUUCUGGAUAACCGCAUGAAAGUGUGGCUAAUACGGGAUAUUCUGGGUCUGUCGCAUGAUGGGUCUGGGAAAGAUAUUGUUUCGGUGGGGGAUGGGCUCGCGGCCUAUCAGCUUGUUGGUGGGGUGAUGGCCUACCAAGGCGGUGACGGGUAGCCGGCCUGAGAGGGUGGACGGUCACACUGGGACUGAGACACGGCCCAGACUCCUACGGGAGGCAGCAGUGGGGAAUAUUGCACAAUGGGCGCAAGCCUGAUGCAGCGACGCCGCGUGAGGGAUGGAGGCCUUCGGGUUGUGAACCUCUUUCGCCAGUGAAGCAGGCCUGCCUCGUUUGUGGGUGGGUUGACGGUAGCUGGAUAAGAAGCGCCGGCUAACUACGUG
rnacentral:rRNA from 1 species